ACAGUGAAACCGCGAAUGGCUCAUUAAAUCAGCUAUGGUUCCUUAGAUCAUUUUAUCCUACUUGGAUAACUGUAGUAAUUCUAGAGCUAAUACAUGCCUCGAAGUCGCGACCUCACGGAGCGAUGCAGUUAUUAGAUCAAAACCAACCGGGCUUCGGUCCGCUGGCUUGAUGACUCUGGAUAACUUGUCUGCAGAUCGCACGGCCUUUGCGCUGGCGAUAGAUCUUUCAAAUGUCUGCCCUAUCAACUUAAGAUGGUAGGUAACCCGCCUACCAUGGUUAUAACGGGUAACGGGGAAUCAGGGUUCGAUUCCGGAGAGGGAGCCUGAGAAAUAGCUACCACAUCCAAGGAAGGCAGCAGGCGCGCAAAUUACCCACUCCCGGCACGGGGAGGUAGUGACGAAAAAUAACGAUAUAGAACUCUUUCGAGGCUCUAUAAUUGGAAUGAGCACACUUUAAAUCCUUUAGCGAGGAUCAAUUGGAGGGCAAGUCUGGUGCCAGCAGCCGCGGUA
rnacentral:rRNA from 1 species